GACGAACGCUGGCGGCGUGCUUAACACAUGCAAGUCGAACGGAAAGGCCCUGCUUUUGUGGGGUGCUCGAGUGGCGAACGGGUGAGUAACACGUGAGUAACCUGCCCUUGACUUUGGGAUAACUUCAGGAAACUGGGGCUAAUACCGGUUAGGAGCUCCUGCUGCAUGGUGGGGGUUGGAAAGUUUCGGCGGUUGGGGAUGGACUCGCGGCUUAUCAGCUUGUUGGUGGGGUAGUGGCUUACCAAGGGUUUGACGGGUAGCCGGCCUGAGAGGGUGACCGGCCACAUUGGGACUGAGAGACGGCCCAGACUCCUACGGGAGGCAGCAGUGGGGAAUAUUGCACAAUGGGCGGAAGCCUGAUGCAGCAACGCCGCGUGCGGGAUGACGGCCUUCGGGUUGUAAACCGCUUUCGCCUGUGACGAAGCGUGAGUGACGGUAAUGGGUAAAGAAGCACCGGCUAACUACGUG
rnacentral:rRNA from 1 species